rnacentral:rRNA from 1 species
GACGAACGCUGGCGGCGUGCCUAACACAUGCAAGUCGAACGAGGCCACUCCUUCGGGAGUGAGUCGAGUGGCGGACGGGUGAGUAACACGUGAGCAAUCUACCCUAGUGCGGGGGAUAACCCGGGGAAACCCGGGCUAAUACCGCAUGGACAAGAGAUCCGAGUGGGUCUUUUGGGAAACGUGGCCUCUUAACAAUGCUACGGCGCAAGGAGGAGCUCGCGGGCUAUCAGCUAGUUGGUGAGGUCAUGGCUCACCAAGGCAGCGACGGCUACGGGGUCUGAGAGGACGACCCCGCACAUUGGAACUGAGACACGGUCCAGACUCCUACGGGAGGCUG